rnacentral:rRNA from 1 species
UAAGAGGUAAAGCCUGCCCAGUGAACUAUAAACUUCAACGGCCGCGGUAUCUUGACCGUGCAAAGGUAGCAUAAUCACUUGUCUUUUAAAUGAGGACCUGUAUGAAUGGCACCACAUUUCUUAACUGUCUCCUUUCUCUCCAAUUUUAAACUUCUAUUAACGUGAAGAAGCGUUAAUAAAAAAGAAAGACGAGAAGACCCUGUCGAGCUUAAGCCUAAAAAAAGAAUCCUAACAAAUUUAACAAUUUCUUUUCCAAAGAAAAACACCUUUUUCAAAGCUUUGGUUGGGGCAACCAUGGAGAAAAAAUAACCUCCAGUUUGAUAAAAAGAUAUAUUAAUCUUUUAUAAAUUUGUAACUUAAGAACCAAAAACUUUGGUAAACAGAAAAAGUUACCGCAGGGAUAACAGCGUUAUCUUCUUUGAGAGUUCACAUUGACAAGAAGGAUUGCGACCUCGAUGUUGGAUUGGGAUUACCAAGAGGUGCAGCAGCUUCUAAGGGUUGGACUGUUCGUCCAUUAAUUUCCUACGUGAUCUGAGUUCAGACCGG